AUUGAACGCUGGCGGCAGGCCUAACACAUGCAAGUCGAACGAGUGGCGGACGGGUGAGUAAUGUCUGGGAAACUGCCUGAUGGAGGGGGAUAACUACUGGAACCGGUCGCUAAUACCGCAUACCAUCGGAUCUGCCCAGAUGGGAUUAGCUAGUAGGUGGGGUAAAGGCGCACCUAGGCGACGAUCCAUAGCUGUGCUGAGAGGAUGACCAGCCACACUGGAACUGAGACACGGUCCAGACUCCGACGGGAGGCAGCAGUGGGGAAUAUUGCACAAUGGGCGAAAGCCUGAUGCAGCCAGGCCGCGUGUAUGAAGAAGGCCUUCGGGUUGUAAAGUACUUUCAGCGGGGAGGCGUUACCCGCAGAAGAAGCAACGGCUAACUACGUGCCAGCAGCCGCGGUAAUUC
rnacentral:rRNA from 1 species